UGCGGGAUCUGCUAAUGGUAGGCAACCGGGCCCUGAACCCGGGAAUCUAGGUUCGAAUCCUAGUCCCGCAG
rfam:Candidatus Giovannonibacteria bacterium RIFCSPHIGHO2_01_FTLL_48_47 rifcsphigho2_01_scaffold_3516, whole genome shotgun sequence.